ensembl:lincRNA
AUGGAUUCAGGUUGCAUGUUUUGUGCAGGCUCUUAUCACGCGAUGGCAUCCACUGUGGAAGGAGGCGACACAGCUCUGCUCCCAGAAUUCCCCAGGGGGCCCCUCGAUGCCUACCGAGCAAGAGCGUCCUUCAGCUGGAAGGAGCUGGCGCUGUUCACGGAAGGGGAGGACAUGCUCCGCUUUAAGAAAACCAUCUUCUCAGCUCUUGAGAACGACCCUCUUUUCGCUCGUUCCCCUGGAGCUGAUCUGUCCUUGGAGAAGUAUCGCGAGCUGAACUUCCUUCGAUGCAAGCGGAUCUUCGAGUAUGACUUCCUCAGUGUCGAAGACAUGUUCAAGAGCCCUCUGAAGGUCCCCGCCUUGAUUCAGUGCCUGGGGAUGUAUGACUCUUCUCUGGCUGCCAAGUACCUCCUCCAUAGCUUGGUGAGCAUGCGGCCCAGGGGAGAGGGAAACGGCUUUCAUGAUGCGCUGAGCCUUGAGGGAUGCCUGUCCCAGGGCCAACCAAGAGGCAGAGAAACACCAGUUUGUCCAGCUAUAUUUGCAAAUUUUAAAAAUUAUCUUUUUUUUAAUGUUUUUUAAAAAAUUUCAGUCCCCCUUUUCAUUUUUUUAUUUUCAAGCCCAUCCACCAUCAUGUAAUUGUAAAUUUACACACAUAAGUCCUUGAAUAAAAUACAAUGUGGUGAAGCUUCAAGUCCCAUCAGAAGAGGAGCUGUUGGGACUUUUUUUUUUUUUUUUUUUACCUCAUACAAAAAAAGAGACAAAUGAUUAAAAAAAAAUAAAAAAAUUUAAAAAGUAGGCCAAAGGGAGAAACCUGUGUUUUUCCUUCCUUUGUAACAUACCAGCAGAGCUGAGCUUGGGCAAAAUGGCUUUGCCCUUAGCCUUGCCUGUAUUGUUUGAUGGGCUGGUGGGCUCUGCUCUCCUUACAGCUCUCCCUGCUGUCCUCAGACCCCCAGGACUCCUUGCAGGCAUCUUAAUUCCCAGGUGAUUUCUGUGUGCCUUAUACAAGGUGCUUGGCACAGAGAUGUAGGUCUUACCACUCACAUGAACUCAGGGACCCGGGGCAGCUGUGUGUCAGGAGACCCUGGCCUUGGGCAUCCAGGCUGCUGGCUAACCUCUCAGCACUUGUUCUCCACCUUGGGGAAAGUGCAGUGUGGCAGGGAACCAGUGUGGGCAUGGUGUUGAGUGCCGUUGUCUGUUGUGAUGUUCCGGAAGAGCAGUACUCUUCUUACCUGCCCCCUGUUGAUAGGACGAUGCUAUACUUUCAGGUUUUUGGAUCAGCAGUUUACAGUUCUGGUUCUGAAAGACAUCUCACAUAUAUUCAAAAGAUCUUCAGGAUGGAGGUAAGUUCUGGUUCAUGGUGAAUUGUGAGCCUGGUUCUCUUGCUUGAUCUCUGUAGAGAUUUGUGAAAAGAGAAGAUUGUAGAAGGGGGUGCCCAGGGGGCUUAUGCUCUUCUUGUUUCCUAGUGUUCUCAGGCUUCUCACCAAAUAGCUAGCACUGUUCUUUAGCAAACACAGGCACAUUGACUUCCUAGCACCAGGUGAAUUGUCACUGAGGCCUUCCACUGUCUUUUCCUGACGAGCAGUUCCUGCCACCUUGCUGACGUGGAGCAGCUGCGGUCAGCUUGGUGCAGGCUGCUGUGGUUGCCAGCUGAGUGUGGCAGCAUGACUCAGUCAAGUCACUAGUUGGGUAGAUGGAAAUUUGGGGCUUUGAUAUGUGGUUUCAUCUUUAAAGGAAAGAUGGCAGUGAGGUCCUUCUGGGAAUGUGCACAAAGAACUUUUCUUGCUUUCCAUCAUUUUGUGCUUUGACGUUUAGAUUUUUGGAUGUUUUGCUCUGACCGAAUUAAGCCACGGCAGUAAUACCAAGGCCAUUCGCACGACUGCCCACUACGAUCCUGCCACUGAGGUAGGUAUUACCUUCCCCCGGAUCCCUGGGUUUGGAGCAUAUGAGACGUCAUGAGUGCAAAUGCCGUUGCCAAGAAUAAGAAAAAAAAACAUUAAAGCAAGAGGCCUGUCCACAUACACAUGUGUAGAAAUACCCACUGAGAUUCAUCACACUGAAAAGUGGGGCCCAGGAGAUCAGGCAUUGGAGGACAAAGCCUGUGCCCACCAUGAACUUUAUGGGGAAUUGAUCGUGGUUUGGAUUUGUGUGUAAUUUGAGUGCAGUGAAGAAGCCCUCAUUCUGUAAAAUUUAUUGCCUUGUUUACCUGGCUGCCUACGCGUAGUGGAUUCAUAAACCGUUCGCAUGGCCCUUGGUUUCUACGAUGGGCCCCAUGGAGACAACAUGCUCCCUGCCCUCUGCCCUUUGUGGCUGUCCCUCUGCGAAGAGCCUGCCUUGUCCAUUUCCAC